UACGUAGGGUGCGAGCGUUGUCCGGAAUUAUUGGGCGUAAAGAGCUUGUAGGCGGUUUGUCGCGUCUGCCGUGAAAUUUCGGGGGCUCAACCCCCGAACUUGCGGUGGGUACGGGGCAGACUAGAGUGUGGUAGGGGGAGACUGGAAUUCCUGGUGUAGCGGUGAAAUGCGCAGAUAUCAGGAGGAACACCGAUGGCGAAGGCAGGUCUCUGGGCCACUACUGACGUGAGAAAGCGAAAGCAUGGGGGAGCGAACAGG
rnacentral:rRNA from 1 species